AUUGUGAUGUUAGUCUAUGCACAUGAUGACGAUGGCGAAGACAAACGAGAUUUCUAAAUUGAUUGCAUUGUACACUUGGAUGUGACGUGUAUACCAUGUGACAGUGAAAUUGGAUUACUUCGGGAAGAAUUAGUGCUGGUAUUAAUGCAAUAUUUUAACAGUGCGCAUAAUAAUUCUGAAAUCGUGUUUCGACAUUAAAAAUGGACAUUCUGGAUAGUUUAUUCGUUUGGACUAGAGAUUAGUCAUAUCAGACGUAUGAUAUGCAGCAUAUACCAGCAGUCCAGGAUGAUGUCUCUGGAUGGUAUGAUAUGUACCAGCAGUCCAGGAUGAUGUCUCUGGAUGGUAUGAUAUUUACCAGCAGUCCAGGAUGAUGUCUCUGGAUGGUGUAAAUGUGGUUGAGUCCUGAUUUGUCCAGAGCAUCUUGGAGCUGUGGAACAACAAUGGGAGCACCAUACGUAAGCUCACCAAUGAACGAUAUCCUCCACAAUGUCAACUCUGGUGUCAAAUACAGUCCAGUGUAUAGGACAGAAUGAAGCUACAGCCGCCAGCUGGGUGGCAUACGGAGAGACAAUUAUGGUAACAUCAUCGGCGCGUCUUCAGCCUCCAUGCUCUGGGUGCUUCAAAAGGACCCACACAUAUCUAAACUAAAGGAAAGAAUAACAUUUUGUUUAAAAUGACCCUGGUUAUUUUUUUAGUUAGAAAAUUGCAGUGAGUUGUGUCGUUGGAAAACUGAGGUUAAUGCCCCAGUCCACAAGCUGUUAAAAAAACUUACUUCGUAGAAAUCGAUUCUGUUGAAUAUCAUACCGCUCAAAAAUGUUUUUCUAACAAAUGAAAUAGCGUUCAGUGAAAUAAAAGUCUUUCAUAAGAACUAACCCAAUAAAUUGUACAGGGCUUGCUUAUACGGGGUAUGUUGAUUUCUCUGUUCUUUAUGCAUAAAUUUAUACAUUAAAUCAUUUAUUACUGUGACAAUGUUGGCUGUUUGGCAACCACUAGCAGACAUUUCUUUGAAAAAUCAUAUAUUAACAAGUAACAUAACUGUGACCUGCAAAGUUUGUUCAAAUCAUGCUCUGGUGUAAAAACUGGCAGGCCAAAUGGGUCACAUAGUUUAUAUUGCAAAGUAACUUAAAAAGUAUUCCCACAGGUAAUUACUUUAUAUGUUGGUGUGAAGCAUAAGUUUGUUGUGCAUACAAUUAUUAAAUGGGGUAGAGGUACAUGAAAACAUGAUAAACUUAUCUUCAUGUGAAAGGAGUUGUCUUGCUUGAUAGUUUACUGUUAUAUUUUUGUAUUCCGCGUGCUAGAUAGAACUGUAUUAAAAAUUGACAGCUUUUAUUGUAGACCUAAUAUAUUAUACACAAUUUGUUGCAUUUUGACCAGUGAUAGUCACAUGGUAAAUCUUCAGUUUCGAUGACGAAAGGUAUGGAGCAGUAAAUGCAGACACUACCCUCCUAACGCUGGGCUUCAUUAUCGUCUUCAUCUUCAUUAUUUUGGUGCUUGGAGGCUUUAACCUGGUGGAAAACAAUUGUCCAAAAAGGGUCUCUUUAUCUACAUCUUUUUAGUUUGUAACAUAAGUAUAUGCUAGUAGAUA